rnacentral:rRNA from 1 species
UCCCCCAAGAGUCCACAUCGACGGGGAGGUUUGGCACCUCGAUGUCGGCUCAUCGCAUCCUGGGGCUGUAGUCGGUCCCAAGGGUUGGGCUGUUCGCCCAUUAAAGCGGUACGCGAGCUGGGUUCAGAACGUCGUGAGACAGUUCGGUCCCUAUCCGUCGCGGGCGCAGGAAAUUUGAGAGGAGCUGUCCUUAGUACGAGAGGACCGGGAUGGACGCACCGCUGGUGUACCAGUUGUUCUGCCAAGGGCAUCGCUGGGUAGCUAUGUGCGGACGGGAUAAGUGCUGAAAGCAUCUAAGCAUGAAGCCCCCCUCAAGAUGAGAUUUCCCAUUCCGCAAGGAAGUAAGAUCCCUGAAAGAUGAUCAGGUUGAUAGGUCUGAGGUGGAAGUGUGGCGACACAUGGAGCUGACAGAUACUAAUCGAUCGAGGACUUAACCAUUUU